UACGAAGGGUGCAAGCGUUACUCGGAAUUACUGGGCGUAAAGCGUGCGUAGGUGGUUCGUUAAGUCUGUCGUGAAAGCCCCGGGCUCAACCUGGGAAUGGCGAUGGAUACUGGCGGGCUAGAGUGCGGUAGAGGAGAGUGGAAUUCCCGGUGUAGCAGUGAAAUGCGUAGAGAUCGGGAGGAACAUCAGUUGCGAAGGCGGCUCUCUAGUACGGUACUGACGCUGAGACGCGAAAGCGUGG
rnacentral:rRNA from 1 species